UCGCAUCCACUGGUAGACCCGGAACAAUCUGCUGUUGUUCUUUUGGUUUGCACUAGGAUGCAAGAGAAAGGAAUCAUGCACUUUUUGUCUUUGUGCAGCCCAGGCCGAAUCAGGGAAUAUACCA
rnacentral:snoRNA from 1 species